UCGCUUUUUUAAUCCAAAGUG
ensembl:piRNA 21ur-3915 ncRNA